UGCAAGUCGAACGGUAACAUGAGAGCUUGCUCUUGAUGACGAGUGGCGCACGGGUGCGUAACGCGUAUACAAUCUACCUUUUACAGAGGGAUAGCCCAGAGAAAUUUGGAUUAAUACCUCAUAGUAUUAUUAUAUGGCAUCAUAAAGUAAUUAAAGAUUUAUCGGUAAAAGAUGAGUAUGCGUUCUAUUAGUUAGUUGGAGUGGUAACGGCACCCCAAGACAGCGAUAGAUAGGGGCCCUGAGAGGGGGAUCCCCCACACUGGUACUGAGACACGGACCAGACUCCUACGGGAGGCAGCAGUGAGGAAUAUUGGACAAUGGAGGCAACUCUGAUCCAGCCAUGCCGCGUGCAGGAAGACGGCCCUAUGGGUUGUAAACUGCUUUUAUACAGGAAGAAACCGCUCUACGUGUAGAGCUCUGACGGUACUGUAAGAAUAAGGAUCGGCUAACUCCGUGCCAGCAGCCGCGGUAAUACGGAGGAUCCAAGCGUUAUCCGGAAUCAUUGGGUUUAAAGGGUCCGUAGGUGGAUAAUUAAGUCAGAGGUGAAAGUCUGCAGCUCAACUGUAGAAUUGCCUUUGAUACUGGUUAUCUUGAGUUAUUAUGAAGUAGUUAGAAUAUGUAGUGUAGCGGUGAAAUGCAUAGAUAUUACAUAGAAUACCAAUUGCGAAGGCAGAUUACUAAUAAUAUACUGACACUGAUGGACGAAAGCGUGGGGAGCGAACAGGAUUAGAUACCCUGGUAGUCCACGCCGUAAACGAUGGUUACUAGCUGUUCGGACUUCGGUCUGAGUGGCUAAGCGAAAGUGAUAAGUAACCCACCUGGGGAGUACGUUCGCAAGAAUGAAACUCAAAGGAAUUGACGGGGGCCCGCACAAGCGGUGGAGCAUGUGGUUUAAUUCGAUGAUACGCGAGGAACCUUACC
rnacentral:rRNA from 1 species